rnacentral:lncRNA from 1 species
UCGUCUGUGUAUUCUUUUUCUUUUCCCUUUUUACCACACUCACCUUACCAUUUUCACCACACCACAUGGAUUUCACUCCUAUCUAUAAAUUCUUUGCUCCAAAGGGCGAGAUAUUAGAGCCACCACCAUCAUCACAUCCAAUUCUUAUAGAUGGCUAUGACCUCGGCCCUGAUCUAAUAGCCAUGAUUCAGGAGAAACCCUUCUCUGGGCAAGU